AUUGAACGCUGGCGGCAUGCCUUACACAUGCAAGUCGAACGGCAGCGGGGGAGAAGCUUGCUUUUCCUGCCGGCGAGUGGCGAACGGGUGAGUAAUACAUCGGAACGUGCCCUGUAGUGGGGGAUAACUAGUCGAAAGAUUAGCUAAUACCGCAUACGACCUGAGGGUGAAAGUGGGGGACCGCAAGGCCUCAUGCUAUAGGAGCGGCCGAUGUCUGAUUAGCUAGUUGGUGGGGUAAAGGCCUACCAAGGCGACGAUCAGUAGCUGGUCUGCGAGGGCGAUCCGCCACACUGGGACUGAGACACGGCCCAGACUCCUACGGGAGGCAGGAGUGGGUAAUUUUUGACGAUGGGCGAAAGCCUGAUCCAGCAAUGCCGCGUGUGUGAAGAAGGCCUUCGGGUUGUAAAGCACUUUUGUCCGGAAAGAAAUGGCUCUGGUUAAUACCUGGGGUCGAUGACGGUACCGGAAGAAUAAGGACCGGCUAACUACGUGCCAGCAGCCGCCGUAA
rnacentral:rRNA from 1 species